GGGAUUACCACUCGGCCUCAUUGUUCCUUAACCUGCCCUGUUGCCCGACGUCCCCCCCUGGGAUAUUUUUAACACAGCCACAGAGCCGUCCUGCUAAACCUAACUCAUGCUGUGCCUCUGCCCAAACCCUCCAUUGGCUUCACAUCACAGAACACGAGCCAAAGUCCUCAGGUGACGACAAGGCCUGCACCAUCUGUCCCCUUGUCCCUUCUCUGACCCCCUCCCUCCAAGGCUCCAGCGAGGCUGAAUGCUCACACAGCCCCCACUCCUGCCCCAGGGCCUUUGAGCUGCCCUUCCUCCCACCUCCCCAUGGCCCACUGUCAUUUUCCCCAAAUCUUCAGUCAAAUGUCUCCUUCUCAGGGAAGCCUCCUCUGGCCACCCUAUCUUUUUUUUUUGUCUGGGGGAGGUACUAGGGAUUGAACUCAGGGGCACUCAGCCACUGAGCCACAUCCCCAGCCCGAUUUCAAAUUGUAUUUAGAGACAGGGUCUCACUGAGUUGCUUAGAGCCUCGCUUUUGCUGAGGCUGGCUUUGAACUCGCGAUCCUCUUGCCUCAGCCUCUGCAGCCGCUGGGAUUACAGGUGUGCACCAUUGGGCCCAACCUGGUCACCCUACCUUACAAUUCAGCAUCCUCCAUACUUCCUGUCCCUCUUCCCUGUCUUUCUGUUUACCUUGGCAGGUCACCAACCCUGACACCCUACAGCUGACAUGGUUUGUACCCAUUUCCUAAGACCCUUGGGGGCAGGUAUUGGUUGGCAUCUUCAGAGACUAGGAAAAUUAAACCCAGCUCAUAGUGGGCACCCAAUAAAUACUUGUUGAGUGACCGAGAGACGGAGGCGGUACAAUGAGGGGGCUAAGAGUGAGCAGAUUCUGGGGUUCCAAUCCUGGGUUCCAAUCCUCACCGCCUCCUUGUGUGAAUUUAGGAAAGUUAUUUAAACUCUCUCCCUCAGGGUCCUGUCUGUAAAGCAGGAUAAUAAUAGUCCACUUUCCAGGGAUUAAGUAACAGAUCGUAAAGUACUUAGCCCAGGGCUGGCCCGCCUAGGUGCUCGGAAUUGUUCUGGACUAUGAUUGUUCUCACAGGAACCCCAGCCCCCCUCCUCCUGGGCUUCAGACUCACAUCCAGCUGACCUCCUGACACCUCGGGAUGAGCAAAGGCAUCUCGGAUUUAAAAUAGCCAAAUGGCCUUCCCCCGGCCGCUCCUCCCAGGAUCCUCAGCUCAGAACACAGCACCCAGCUGCUCAGAUCCAAAGGCUGCAGGGUCAGCCGUGUCCCUCGCAGUCCCCGUCAGCAGGCUCUGGGGAUGGCACCCAGGGGACCCUCGACCCUCUGCUGCGGCCAACCUGCUCCAGGCCCUCCUCAUCGCUCACCUGGUCCUGGACAAGGGCUUCCUGGCCAAGUCCCUGCCUCGCUGUCCCCCGCCCCAUCUCCCACCUGCUCUGAAGCAGAGGCCUGUGAGCAAAGUGAGCCAGACCGUGGGCUCUCCAGGAGGCUUCCUGUGACACUCGGGACACCCGGGACUCCUCGGCCCAGCUGGGAGGCCGUGGAUCGUGGCUAACCUCCUAGAGCCACUCCUAGCUCCCAGCCUUCCCACAAGCACGUCCCCUCCCUGGGCCAGGGCUGCUGGUCUGUCUCCUACCCAUUCCUUGGGGUCAGUAGAAAUGUCCCUUCCUCAGAGCGCCUUCCUCCUUCCCUCUGACCCUACACAAGGAUCCCCAUCAUCCUCUCUUUCCCCCUAACACCUGGAGCAGCUUGUAUUCUUAUAUAUAUUUGUGGGUUUUUUCCAUGUCCUUCACCAUUAGCCUAGAAGCUCCUGUGGGACAAGGACUGUUGGGUCACUUUCUGGCUGCGCCUAGUGGGCCCAGCAUGGUGCCUGUGGCGCAGUAGGUCUGUGGGGACGUGGUGUGGACUGAGGGUGGGCUGCUGUGCACUCGGUGAUGCUGUUCCGAGCUCCUAACUGCUGAUACAAGAUGCUGCUCCUUCCAAGCCAGCCCGAGGCACCCGCCUCCAAUGUCACCUUAUAAGGAGCCUCAAGGGGAGCCAAGCCCCAGUAUGGCUGGAUCUCCAGGCCAGAGCCGAGUGGGUGGCGCUCAGAGCUCAGAGCGCUGGAGGUGUCCAUGGGGGCAGGGCGGCCCUUGUCCUCUGUCCCCUCUGCGCAGCGGGCAGCAGCCGCUGGGCUCUCUGGCAGCUCUCCCCCCCAGGUGCGGGCAGCCUGCAGGGCGCCCACUGCCCCGUGUGAGGUGCUGGGGACGUACCACCUGAGCAGUCCUGAGGGGCCGGCAGGGGUCGGUCAGCGCUCUCCUGUCCUGCCUCCUGCGCCCCAGGGCUGCCCAAGCAGGUCUAGACAGGGCUGAUGGCAGCAGGUCCCAACAUUCCAGAGGGGACCUGGGACAAGGGAGAGUGUUAACCCCUCGGUGUCCACCCCACCAGGACCCGCAGAGUCCUGGGGCCUGCCUCCCGCUUCUGAGCACACCCCAGAGUGCUGCUCCCCCUGUGACCCAGGCACCCCUCACCCCGUGAGGCCAUGGAAACAGCUUAUGUGCAGCGCAUUCCAAAAAGUCUCCUUCUCCCUGGGGCCUCCCAGACCCAGGCAGAGGCCGGGGCGGAGCCAGUGCCCGUCUCCCCUCUCCAGGGUGGCCUUCACUUCCCAGGACCCUUCCCACUUCCCGCCAGGGACCCCUCCUCCUCCUCCGGGGUGGUGGGCAGGGGGAGCGGAGGGCCGCAUUCCUGGGACGGCCCCGUGCAGCUGGCUGGCUGCCCGCCCAGCCAUCCCUGACCCCGUCCGCCCAGGGCAGCGGAUGCUGCAGUCAGAGGUUUCCUUCCUGGCGUCCCCGUCCCCUCCUCGGACUCUCCCAGGACAGCAAGAACGUUGGGAGGGGCGGUGGCCCAGCCCAAGCCAGGAGGGCGGGAAGGACUGGGGGUGGCACCUGGGCCCGGCCACUAUGGCCGACUGCUCCUGGGAGUGUGUUGGAAUGCCAGGGUGAGAGCUGGCAGGGGCGGUCACGGCUGAAAUGCCCACGUUACAGAUGAGCAGCUGAGGCUCGGAGAGGGGAGAGGAUCUGUCCCCAGGACCUGGGGACAGGGAUAGGGUUUUAACCAAGUCUGUUGGCCACGAGGCUCAUGAGCCCAGCCCCUCCAGGCCCCACUCACUCACCAGCGGUUACAGUUGUCCCAGUAGGUCCCAAAGACUGGAUAGAUGCGCCCCCUGUGCUCGCAUCCUGGAGGACGGAAAGAGAGGGGAAGUGGAAACAGAGAACACUGAGGUGGCCACGUCCCCAGAGGGUAGGUGCCCUCGACGCCCUCCCCCAGGUCACCUCUCACAUACACACACGCCGACCCCCACUCCCCCCGAAACUAAAGCCAAACUAUAACUCAGACAUCCCCUGCCCGUUGCUGUGGCCCACGCCUGAAAUCCCAGCAAUUCAGGAGGCUGAGGCAGGAGGAUGGCAAGUUCAAGGCCAGCCUGGGCAACUUAGUGAAACUCUGUCUCAAAAUUAAAAAUUUAAAAAAGGCCGGGGAUGUAGCUCAGUGGCAGAGCACCCCUGGGUUCAAAACCCAGUGCCCCAGGGAUCGGGGGAAAGACAUCUCCUGGGGCACACAUCAACUUCUACAUGGGAAGUUAUUCAGUGACUCCAACGCGAAUCCCUCUUGCUUCACUUGGAGGCCAGCCACAACAUUCCUGGGAUCCUUUGCCAUUUAAAUAAGUUGGGGCAUAGAAUUGGGGUGGGGAUGGUGAGGCCCAGAGAAGGCAAGCAAUGCCCUUAAGAUAACACAGCACUUUGGGAUAGCAACCCCGGUGUGCAGCCUCCUUGCUCAGAGCCCCCACGGCCCCGCACCCUGGGAGGGGAUUCCAGAGCUUCUCCUGAGAGCCAGUGCAUGGAAAAGGACGUGAUGGAAGCCGAAGGUUGAAGGCAGAAAGAGAUCUGACCCACCUCCCAGGUUGACCAGACAGGCCUCGCGCUGCUGCCGUGCAGUCUGCCAUCUAACGGGAACACAGACCCGAAGGAGCGCGGCCGACCAAGACGUCACUGGGCAACAUGAAGCGCCGGACGGUCUGCACGCAGCGUGAGGGCCGGGAUCGCUGCGAGAGCAGAGAGUGGCCACCCAAGGAUGAGAAGACCGUAGCCCUUCCUAGCGCCCAGGGCAGCCGCAGGAGCAAAGCCCUGAGACCCGGCCCCCGCUGGUCAGCUGGAGCAGCCGCAGGCCGGGGAGCAGCUGGACGACUGGGAGGCAGGCUCCGGAGAAGCAGGAGGGGGCUGGGAGCAGCUGGCCAGGCCGCAGGACCCGGGGCUGUGGAGUGCCGGGAUGUUGGGGUCCGUGGCUCCUCGUCUCCUGAUUCCCCGCCAUCCUUCAAUCAGCCUCAUCUUCACUAAAGCCUGUGGCCCGGGGGGCCCCAAGCUUGGUGUUAUCGCCCUCCAACAUCUUCAGAGCUGCUGCUGUCCCCACGGGCCUGUUUACAGGAACAUUUCCGUAUCUCACAUGACAUUUCCUGGAAGCCUUGAUUGUUCCAAACAGAGAUAUUAAUAAAUUCUUGAGUCCUGAAAAUGUGCAAGAGGUUCUUCAGGGCCUGCAAGCACAUCUCACACCUUCCCUUUUGACCCCUGAGCAGAGAGUAAUGGAAUCUCCACGGCUGGGUAAAUACCACGGAAAAAGCACCCUCGCCCGCCGUCCAGGGGAUGGAACCCAGGGGUGCUCUACGCGCUACCACUGAGCUACAUCCCCAGCCCUUUUAAACCUUUUGAGACAGGGUCUCACUUAGUUGUCACAGUCUGGACUUGAAUUUGCAAGUCUCCUGCCUCAGCUUCCAGAGUAGCUGGGAUUAUGGGGGUGCACUACCGGCUAGAGCCCCCCUUAAGAACCGGCUCCUCACGAAACCCCAGGCUGUGAUCUGUUGUGGUGUAAUGGAGAACCUCAGAAGAUGUUCAUGUCCUGAGCCCUGGAAUCUGUGAACAUGACCUUAUUUGGAAAAAAGAAUCCUUGCAUAGUUCUCAAGUUAAGGAUCUCGAGAUGAGAUCAUCCUAGAUUAUGAGUGGGCUCUAAGUCUACUGACGGGGGUCCAUAUGAGAUUCACACAGGACAUCGACAGACGUGGCCACAGAAGCACAGGCUGGAGUUCUGUGGCCACAAGUCUAGGGACACCCAGAGCCACCAGUAGCUGGAAGAGAGACACUAGGAACAGAUUUUCUCCCAGAGCUGCGAGGUGGAGAGCAGCCCAGCCCAGCCGACACCUUGACUUUGGACUUCUGGCCAAACACACUUGAGUUGGUUCAUCAGCCAAGUCCCGGGCAGUUUGCUACAGCAGCCCUAGGAAACCAACACGGGGUCUUCCAUUUCAAGGAUGCACGGGGCCUGAGAUCUAGCAUCAAUUGGAAUGUGCCAAAAUCAAGGCCAAGUGUAGAUCAAGCCAGCACAAAGCAGCCCACGCUGGCAAAAGCAGAACAAACUGGCUCAGGCUGUAUCAAAUCAUCUUAAGUGGCUGCAACACUCCUCACCCUGCAGUGAUGGGCGGACUGGAGGUAGGAAGCAGCUUCGAGCCCUGGCUCAGCACACCUGCAAGCUGGGGCGUGUUUCUAAACUCUCAAUGCCUCGGUUUCUCCUCAGUAAAAUGAAGGAUCAGUGAGGAUUAUGUGAGUUCACAGAUGGAAGGCACCUGGAACGGGCGACUCUCAGCACAAAAUAAGAGUCCGCUAUUAUCAAAUACACCCAAAUGGAAGCAGACACCGCCCCACUCUGACCAGCCCCGUGGACUCAAGUGUGUUUCAGUGGCCCCCCAGGGAAAUUUAGCUGAAAUAGUAGGAACCGGCACAAACCUCCUGAGUCAACGUUAAAACCAGAUUUAACCAGUCAAAACAGUCUGGAAGGAGAGCCUGCUGUCACAGGGACUCCCCAGCCUUGGUGCAUAUCAGUUUGAGAAGCAGCAAACAGCCUCCCGCUCCCCCCAGGAGCACCCUGGGAGCCACUCGGAGAACAGACAGAUGCACUUCCCUGUCGGAAACAGAACCGGCAGUGUGAUUGCUGCUUAAAGAAACACUCAGAUUCCUCUGUCAGCUCAAGGCUCAAAUAGCAGAGCCCAGCUUCACACCAAUUAAACAAGAGACCCGUCAUGCAGACAGCAGUCCCCUUGCAGUCACAACCAGAAGCAGGGAAGGUAAGAAGAGUCCCCGGGAAAUUGUCUCCCCUGACAUCACCACGGAGGCGUUUAGGUCAAGACCAGGGCCCUCAGUUACCAGUCCCGGCUCUGCCUCUGACAUGCUGCAGUGUGACCUUGGGCAGGUCACCAUCCCUCCUGGGCCUCACUAACCCAUAUCUGAAAUGACGAAGUGUCCUCCAUGGUCACCAAGGGUGUGAAGCGCAUAGAAAUCCAAGAGAUCAUUCAGUUUGACCCUCUUGCGUGCAACCGAAGGGACAGUCAUACAAAGGACCACAGUGACAGGGGAAGACAGGGAGCUGUCCCUGUCAUUUAUUGUCCAUCUACUGUGGAUGAUGAAGUCCCUUUCCUGCACAGCACAGAUGUCAUGGCCUCCCCCAGGGCCUGGGUGUUGGACAUGGGUCUCUCAUUCCUCCCCGCGGGCCCCACAGGGAUAAUCAUCCCCACUUCACAGGCGAGGAAACAGUUCCAGAGGGAAGACUCACUCAGAUGCAGCUAUUUGAAUCCUGGUCUCUAGGGCAGAAGGGAGAAGGGCAAAUGCCAGAGAUAAAAGGUUGCGCGUCACCCAGAACCAACUCAUGGAGGCGAGAAGAGCAAGGCUGCGGGCUCGGGAAGAGACUGUGGGGACAGGAUCUCGAGGGUUCCUUUCAAAACAAUCAUUUUUAUUUGAUUUUUUCAUCCAUUAGUAUGUUCUUAUGGUUCAAAAGUAUAUAUUUUAAAAGCUGACAAUAAAAGUCUCUCCUGGGGGUGCAGCUCAGCGGUAGAGCAUUUGCCCAGCAAGUCUAGGGCUCGGGGUUCCAUCCUCAGCACGGCAAAGCCAAAAAAAUAUUGUUCCCAUUCUGACUCCGUGUUGCCACCCCCUACUUUUUCUUAGCAUCUCCUGUAUUCUUUCAGAGUUUCUUUUUUUGGUACUAGGGAUUGAACCCAGGGACACUUUACCACUGAGCUACAUUCCCAGUCCUUCUUUUUAUGACACAGGGUCUCACUGAGAUGCUUAGGCCUCCACAAAUUGCUGAAGACCUCAAACUCGUGAUCCUCCUGCCUCAGCCUCCUAGGCCGCUGGACCAUAGUGAGAAGCCAAGACCACCAAGAAGGAGGCGUGGGCGGGUUGUCUUGGCAGAACCUGGGCAUUCUCUGCGCACCACUGCCCCCUUGUGGCUAAGGUAGGAAUUCUCCAUGACCAGCCUCCAGUGUCAGGUCUAAGCAGAGGAAAUUCCAGAACUACAGGGGAAAAGGAGGGCGAGUCCGCCUAAGAGAACUGAAAGACCACGAAGUCCUGAGUCCAGUGGGCACUCAUAUAUCCAGCUCUGAAUUUGUAUGUAAACAUGAAAAAAUCAAGCCUCAAAGAGUACUGUCAGGGAGUGAAGAGAACGCUAGAUCUGGU